rnacentral:rRNA from 1 species
UGAGUACGAGAUGCUACGGCAUCGAAGCAGUCUAUGUCAUACUUCCAAGAAAAGCUUGCACUGUCAGAAACAGAUAAUGCCUGUACCAUAACCGACACAGGUGGGUAGGUAGAGUAUACUAAGGGGCGCGAGAUAACUCUCUCUAAGGAACUCGGCAAAAUGACUCCGUAACUUCGGGAGAAGGAGUGCCUUAUUUUUAAGGUUGCAAUAACAAGAUCCAAGCAACUGUUUACCAAAAACACAGGUCUCCGCUAAGUCGUAAGACGAUGUAUGGGGGCUGACGCCUGCCCAGUGCCAGAAGGUUAAAGAAGUCGGUUAGCAUUCGCGAAGCUGGUAACUGAAGCCCAGGUGAACGGCGGCCGUAACGAUAACGGUCCUAAGGUAGCGAAAUUCCUUGUCGGGUAAGUUCCGACCCGCACGAAAGGCGUAAUGAUUUGGAUACUGUCUCGGAGAGGGGCUCGGUGAAAUAGACUUGUCUGUGAAGAUGCGGACUACCUGCACCUGGACAGAAGGACCCUAUGAAGCUUUACUGUAACUUGAAAUUGAAAUUGGACUUUAUUUGCGCAGUAUAGGUGGGAGGCGUUGAAAAUAUUCUUGCGGGAAUAUUGGAGCCAUCAGUGAGAUACCACUCUUGUAAUGUUAGAUUUCUAACUUUAUAUCAUUAUCUGGUUAAAGAACAGUUUCAGGCGGGCAGUUUGACUGGGGCGGUCGCCUCCCAAAUGGUAACGGAGGCGCACAAAGGUUUCCUCUGAACGGGUAGAAAUCGUAUCUAGAGUGUAAAGGCAUAAGGAAGCUUGACUGUGAGACCUACAAGUCGAGCAGGGACGAAAGUCGGUCUUAGUGAUCUGAUGGUGCUGAGUGGAAAGGCCGUCACUCAACGGAUAAAAGUUACUCUAGGAUAACAGGCUGAUCUCCCCCAAGAGUUCACAUCGACGGGGAGGUUUGGCACCUCGAUGUCGGCUCAUCGCAUCCUGGGGCGGUAGUACGUCCCAAGGGUUGGGCUGUUCGCCCAUGAAAGCGGUACGCGAGCUGGGUUCAGAACGUCGUGAGACAGUUCGGUCCAUAUCCGGUGUAGGCGUUAGAAUAUUGAGAGGAGCCUUCUUUAGUACGAGAGGACCGAGAAGGACAUACCUCUGGUGUACCAGUUAUCGUGCCAACGGUAAACGCUGGGUAGCUAUGUAUGGAGUGGAUAACCGCUGAAAGCAUCUAAGUGGGAAGCCCACCUCAAGAUAAGUAUUCUCAU